AUUGAACGCUGGCGGCAUGCCUUACACAUGCAAGUCGAACGGUAACAGGUCUUCGGAUGCUGACGAGUGGCGAACGGGUGAGUAAUACAUCGGAACGUGCCCGAUCGUGGGGGAUAACGAAGCGAAAGCUUUGCUAAUACCGCAUACGAUCUACGGAUGAAAGCAGGGGACCGCAAGGCCUUGCGCGAACGGAGCGGCCGAUGGCAGAUUAGGUAGUUGGUGGAAUAAAAGCUUACCAAGCCGACGAUCUGUAGCUGGUCUGAGAGGACGACCAGCCACACUGGGACUGAGACACGGCCCAGACUCCUACGGGAGGCAGCAGUGGGGAAUUUUGGACAAUGGGCGAAAGCCUGAUCCAGCCAUGCCGCGUGCAGGAUGAAGGCCUUCGGGUUGUAAACUGCUUUUGUACGGAACGAAAAGACUCUGGUUAAUACCUGGGGUCCAUGACGGUACUGUAAGAAUAAGCACCGGCUAACUACGUGCCAGCCGCCGCGGUAAUAC
rnacentral:rRNA from 1 species